rnacentral:sRNA from 1 species
UCCAUGUCAAUAUCGGCUGCUGCCUUAAU